rnacentral:rRNA from 1 species
GUGUCAGCAGCCGCGGUAAUACGUAGGUGGCAAGCGUUGUUCGGAUUUACUGGGCGUAAAGGGUGUGUAGGCGGAUAUUUAAGUUAGAUGUGAAAUCCCCGGGCUUAACUUGGGGGCUGCAUUUCAAACUGGUUGUCUAGAGUGCAGGAGAGGAAAGUAGAAUUCCUGGUGUAGCGGUGAAAUGCGUAGAGAUCAGGAGGAAUACCGGUGGCGAAGGCGGCUUUCUGGA